rnacentral:rRNA from 1 species
GAUGAACGCUAGCGGCAGGCUUAAUACAUGCAAGUCGAGGGGCAUCACAGGUAGCAAUACUGGGUGGCGACCGGCAAACGGGUGCGGAACACGUACACAACCUUCCUUUCGGUGGGGGAUAGCCUUUGGAAACGGAGAUUAAUACCCCAUGAUACAAGAGAUCCGCAUGGGUCAUUUGUUAAAGAUUUAUUGCCGGAAGAUGGGUGUGCGUCUGAUUAGGUAGUUGGCGGGGUAAAGGCCCACCAAGCCGACGAUCAGUAACUGGUGUGAGAGUACGACCAGUCACACGGGCACUGAGACACGGGCCCGACUCCUACGGGAGGCAGCAGUAAGGAAUAUUGGUCAAUGGACGGAAGUCUGAACCAGCCAUGCCGCGUGGAGGAUGAAGGUCCUCUGGAUUGUAAACUUCUUUUAUAGGGGGCGAAAAAGGGCCAUUCUUGGUCAACUGACGGUACCCUAUGAAUAAGCACCGGCUAACUCCGUGCCAGCAGCCGCCGUAAAAC